CCUACGGGCGGCAGCAGUGAGGAAUAUUGGUCAAUGGGCGAGAGCCUGAACCAGCCAAGUCGCGUGAGGGAAGACGGUCCUACGGAUUGUAAACCUCUUUUGUCAGGGAGCAAGGAGCGCCACGCGUGGUUCGGCGAGAGUACCUUAAGAAAAAGCAUCGGCUAACUCCGUGCCAGCAGCCGCGGUAAUACGGAGGAUGCGAGCGUUAUUCGGAUUCAUUGGGCUUAAAGGGAGCGUAGGCGGGCGUUCAAGUCAGCGGUAAAAUCGCGCGGCUCAACCGCGCCCCGCAGUUGAAACUGGACGCCUGGAGUUCACAACAGGCAGGCGGAAUUCGUGGUGUAGCGGUGAAAUGCAUAGAUAUCACGAGGAACCCCGAUUGCGAAGGCAGCCUGCCGGGGUGCGACUGACGCUGAGGCUCGAAGGUGCGGGUAUCAAACAGGAUUAGAUACCCGGGUAGUC
rnacentral:rRNA from 1 species